AAUGAACGUUGGCGGCGUGGAUUAGGCAUGCAAGUCGAGCGAGAAUCCCGGCUUGCCGGGAGGACAGCGGCGAAAGGGACAGUAAUGUGUAGAUCAUCUACUCUCGGGAUCGGGAUAGCUGCGGGAAACUGCAGGUAAUACCGAAUAACAUCUCCGGAUCAAAUGGUGUGAUUCCGCCCGAGGAUGAGUCUGCAUCCUAUUAGCUAGUUGGUGAGGUAACGGCUCACCAAGGCUUUGAUGGGUAGCGGGUGUGAGAGCACGACCCGCGUCACUGGGACUGAGACACUGCCCAGACACCUACGGGUGGCUGCAGUCGAGAAUCUUCGGCAAUGGACGCAAGUCUGACCGAGCGACGCCGCGUGCGGGAUGAAGGCCCUCGGGUUGUAAACCGCUGUCGGAGGGGAUGAAAUCGUGGUGGGUUCUCCCACCUCGUUGACAUAGCCUCAAAGGAAGUGUGGGCUAAGUUCGUGCCAGCAGCCGCGGUAAGACGAACCACGCAAACGUUAUUCGGAAUUACUGGGCUUAAAGGGUGCGUAGGCGGCGCGGAAAGUAGGGUGUGAAAUCCCUCGGCUCAACCGAGGAAUUGCGCCCUAAACUACCGUGCUCGAGGGAGAUAGAGGUGAGCGGAACUUAGGGUGGAGCGGUGAAAUGCGUUGAUAUCCUAAGGAACACCGGUGGCGAAAGCGGCUCACUGGAUCUCUUCUGACGCUGAGGCA
rnacentral:rRNA from 1 species